rnacentral:rRNA from 1 species
UGGGGAAUAUUGCACAAUGGGCGCAAGCCUGAUGCAGCCAUGCCGCGUGUGUGAAGAAGGCCUUCGGGUUGUAAAGCACUUUCAGCGAGGAGGAAGGGUAGUGUGUUAAUAGCACAUUGCAUUGACGUUACUCGCAGAAGAAGCACCGGCUAACUCCGUGCCAGCAGCCGCGGUAAUACGGAGGGUGCAAGCGUUAAUCGGAAUUACUGGGCGUAAAGCGCACGCAGGCGGUUUGUUAAGUCAGAUGUGAAAUCCCCGCGCUUAACGUGGGAAC